CCUACGGGCGGCAGCAGUGGGGAAUAUUGGACAAUGGGGGCAACCCUGAUCCAGCCAUGCCGCGUGUGUGAAGAAGGCCCUCGGGUUGUAAAGCACUUUCAGUGAGGAAGAACGCCUGGUGGUUAAUACCCAUCAGGAAAGACAUCACUCACAGAAGAAGCACCGGCUAACUCCGUGCCAGCAGCCGCGGUAAUACGGAGGGUGCGAGCGUUAAUCGGAAUUACUGGGCGUAAAGCGCGCGUAGGUGGCUUGAUAAGCCGGUUGUGAAAGCCCCGGGCUCAACCUGGGAACGGCAUCCGGAACUGGCAAGCUAGAGUGCAGGAGAGGAAGGUAGAAUUCCCGGUGUAGCGGUGAAAUGCGUAGAGAUCGGGAGGAAUACCAGUGGCGAAGGCGGCCUUCUGGACUGACACUGACACUGAGGUGCGAAAGCGUGGGUAGCAAACAGGAUUAGAUACCCCUGUAGUC
rnacentral:rRNA from 1 species